UACGGAGGGGGCUAGCGUUGUUCGGAAUUACUGGGCGUAAAGCGCACGUAGGCGGCUUUGUAAGUUAGAGGUGAAAGCCCGGGGCUCAACUCCGGAAUUGCCUUUAAGACUGCAUCGCUAGAAUUGUGGAGAGGUAAGUGGAAUUCCGAGUGUAGAGGUGAAAUUCGUAGAUAUUCGGAAGAACACCAGUGGCGAAGGCGGCAUCCUGGACUGGUCCUGACACUCAUGAGCGAAAGCGUGGGGAGCGAUCCGG
rnacentral:rRNA from 1 species